GCUGGAUGCUCCGGCCCGUCCUGAAAUCUGCGACCGCAUCAAGGAGGAAUUUCGGUUCCUGCAGGCGCAGUACCACAGCUUGAAGUUGGAAUGUGAGGAGCUGAUGACUGAGAAGACAGAGAUGCAGAGACAUUAUGUCAUGUGCUAUGAGAUGUCCUAUGGCCUGAACAUCGAAAUGCACAAGCAGGUAAGUGAGUGGGGUCUGUGCCAGCAGCAGGAGAUGGUGGGGAAGAGGCCAAGGUUGGAGACUUCGUUGGAAAAUUCCCUUCCUCAUCCCCGUGUAGCUGUAAUGGCACGGGAGACAUGACACGGCUCUCUGCAAGGGACUGGCUUCAAAGGAGUCCAGAUGUUGUCGGGACAUGUGCUGUUGAGUUCCUUGGGACAGGGACCUACCAAUCCAAAUCACCACUCAGAGCCUCUAUGUGAGCCCUGGUGCCUUCCUGCGGAGGGUCCCUGGGGCCUGAGUUGAGGGAGGGAUGUGGAAGAAACAGCAGAAGCUGGAGCCCAAGGGCAAAUGGAUUGUCUUUCUUUUCUUUUUUUCCCAAUCUCCUUUUCCCUAAGUCAGAGGAGUGUUUUUACCCUUCCUUGGUUCCCCUUUUGUUCCAGUGUUAAUUUGUUUUCCCUCUUCAGAUUUAUCAAUCUAGUCAUCAUGGGCUCUCUGCCAGGGAAAUUAGUUUGGACCAAUGCCUGACAAAGUGGCAAGUCAACUGCCAUAUUCCUCCAGCUGGCUCAGCCCCUCUUGAGUUUGCUCCUUUUGGUAGCAGGGAGUAUGGUAGACCAUGAGCAUAUUCCUGCCAUCCCCACAUACUUCAAGAUCUGGUGGGACUGGGACCCACGGAUGGGACUGGGACCCGGGGUGGCCCAUGCCACAUGGGGCCAGUGGCUCUGCCCACAAGGCGAUAGAAGUGGGGGCCAAGCAGGAGAAGCAGGAGCCCUGACCCACCUGGGUCCAGUUCCUGCUCUGCCUGGGCAGGAGAGGUCUGGAGGGGAGGUGUCUUUGACUCCCAGGGUCCUGAGUGGGCAUUGUGGCAGUGGCUGAGACAGCAGCUGGGACCUGCAGGUGAGCAGGGCGCUGAUGGGUGCGGGGGUGCUCCCAGGGUGCAGCAGGUAAAUGUUCCCUUUGUUGGCUCUGAGCGUGGUUUGACCUCUGCAACACUGUCGGGGAUUAUCAGAAAUCUGAGAUGAAAAAAUGCUUCAGAGCAGCCAGUCCCUCCACCAGUGCCAGGGUAGAUUUGCAGUGAGGGAAUCGAGUUUUCCCCAGGAGACAUGGGUUUUCUCUUGGAGAGGCUGGGCUGGAAGCCACAGCCCCUUUGCUCAGAAGUGCUGCUUACCCUGGUGGGGCCGUGGCUGGGCUGUGGGUCUGUCUGUUACCACAGGCUCUCCUCAGAGGAUACAUCAGGUUCUCUGCAUUCCCUUGUUGCCGCUGCGGGGCAGGGGCAGGUCCGAGGUGUUCUGUGCCUCUGCUCCCCCUUUGGAAGGAGCAGGGAGAGCUGCCAGCUGGCCCAGGACUUGAUGGGGAUGGCAGCGGGGUCCCUGCUCUGGGCAGGGCAGGUACCACCAUCAGUUCCUUGCAGGGUUUGCAGGCACGAUGCCAAGAGGGCUGAAUCUGUGGGAGUUCUGUGUCCCUUGCUCUGCCCUGGCUUUAAGUCCGACACUCGGGGACAGCGCAGUGUGUGGGUGGCCCACUGCCAGCGUCUGCGGCUCAGCUCUGCCCCGUCCCUGCCUGUGCCAGUGGCAGCCCCAAAGCCAACCUGGGUUUGGGCUGAGCAAAGCCCUCCGUGAGGCAGCUGGGAGGGCGUGAGGUCCCCGUCACAAAGAAACCUUCUCUAAUUACACCAGGGUUUACACCAAGUAAAGAUUUGAUGCCCAAAGCUGAGACUUCAAGGGAAACUACUGUUGUAAGCCCCUGGUAGAAACUAUGGGAGCCACAAAUCUGGGGCAAGGAAUUUAGAAACCAGAGCCUAGCUGCAUGUGUGGGGGUGAUGGCAGGCAUCCAGUCCCCCUCCUGGACCAUGGCCUUGGAGCAAUGCCUACAAGAGUCCCUCAGCUCCCCAUCCCUGCCUGACUCUUUUUGCCAGCAGAGACCUGAAUGAGUUUGUUCUUUCCAAAUGCUGGUGGAUUUCUAGGAGUGAAAAUCAACCAGGGAGGGUUGCUAGACCGCAGCCACAACCCUGUGCUUGGAUUUGCAGCAAAUGCCUGGCACGUUUUCCCUGGACUCAGGGAGGUGGACCUGUUUUGCUAUGCAUGUACGAAAGCUUCGGAGGCUUUCCAAGCAAGGUUUUUAGGCAUGGCUUCCUAAGGAAAUAGGAUGGGUGUGAUUCAGGAGGUCUCAGCUGGCUGGUCGGCUUGUCCCCUCCUGGCAGCUUUGGACCUGUUGCCACAUCUAGGGAAGAGAUUCCAAAGCUGGCGUAAUUCUUGAAAGUAGGUGGGUGGAUAGAGGUUUCCCUGCUUCCCUGAGGAAAACCAAUGUGCUCAUCUCCCAUUAGACAACAGAGAAUCCACACUUCAGGUGGACAAAGUGGGAAAUCAGGUAUGAUUUGUAAGCCCAUGUCCUGUUGUUUCCUGUGUUACCCUGCAGUGCCCCCCUCUCCUCCCUGCCCGAGUAUAUGGGGCACAGCCUUGGCAUUAACAGCCUCUUCCUCUUCUCCCCUCUGCCUUGCUGACAUGGAUCUGCUCAGAUAUUCUCCCUGCUGCUGCUUGGCUCCAGAACGUGCCCCAAGCCGGAGCAUUUCUUGUUCCCCCCUUGAGUGCCUGCAGGAUGAGGAGCAGAUGGGCCUGAAGCGGAAGCGGGAGGAGAAGAACCUGCCUGGGCAUUCUGCAGUCCAGCUGAGCCACGGCUGUCUUGGUGCCCGGCUGCCCCACGUCCCAGACCUUCACGCAGCCCUUGCCCCCCGUGUAGACGUGUCGUGUGGAGUUGCUGAUGGUGACGGCGCAGACCACCUCGCCGUGGGUCAGGGUGUGGAGCUGCCGUGCGUGGCGGGGGAUGCCGGAGCCGAUGAGUGCGUCAGGUGGAAAAGGCACCGGCUGCAUCUGCCCAUCGGCACUGACGUGGAAGGAGUAGGCACUGGAACGGAGCAGAGCAGUGAGAGCCAGAGGAGAAUCCUGCAAGGUCAGUGGCCGGUGCCACGUGGGUCCCAGCGGGUCUGACAAAGGGAGCACGUUUUGGGAGUUGGAGCCAUGAGCAGAGCAUGCCCAGUGAUGCCAGUUGUGCUCCCCACCCCUGCUGGUCCUGGCUUGUCUGCAUCACCCAGGUUCAGCCCCACAGGUUACCUCAUCCCCUGCCCCAGCACAGCCCGCAGCCCAGCCCGGCCCUACUUACGGCUUCCCCGAGGUCCCCACUUGUAUGCCGGCCACCAGCCCAGGGAUGCGCAUGUGGGGGUGUGGGUCGUAGCCCACCUGGAGGGGACAGCAGGUGAGAGUAGCUCACACUCCGUGGCCCCCACGGCCCCGCGGGGAGCAGGUCACGCACCAGGGGGGAGCGUCCGUAGCUGCUGGCUCCCAUGGCAGCUGCAGCCCCGUUGAGCUGCGGGGACAUGAGGUGGAGGCUGGCAUAGGCGCCAGUCCCGGCCACGUCCCCAUUGACUGCAGGGUGGGCCAAGCCAAAGGCAGCCGAGUAGGGACUCUGCACUCCCAGUGGAUUCCUCAGGCCCAGGGCUGAUGGGGGAGAGGCAGUGUGAAGGGACAGGGCUUGGGAGCCAGUGCUUGGAGACACCCGCCCGGGCCCCAGUGGGGCCAAGCUCACCCAGAGGGUCUAUGGGGGCCUUGGCAGCAGCAGGGCGAAACUGCUGGGCCCCACCGGAGCCUGGGGCCGUGGUGUCACCCUGGGAAGUGGGGGUGCUGGACUUCAGGCUGGGCGUCCCUGCCUUCUCCACCUGCCGGAAACAGCACAGGGAUCUGACAGCUGCACCACUACCCUGCCAGGGGGUCUCCUCCGGUGCUCUCCAGCAAGUUGGUCCCUGUUCCUCCCCCUCAAUGACAGCCCAGCCCAGCCAGCACUGCAGGCUCUGUGGGACAGGACGUGAGCUGGGAUCUAACAGAGCAGAAGCCCCGUCCUGUCCCUCCAGCACUGCCUUUGCUCCAUGGGUUUGGAGACAGGUAGACCCAUGUCUGGCCACUCUGUCAGCUGAACCUGGGCAGCAGGGACACAAGCAUAGGCCCUGAGUGAAGUGCCCCAGCUGCCCCAGGCACUGCACGUACUGUGGGUGCAUCCUUGCUCCGAGAUGGGGAGCUGCUGGAGGAGGUCAUGGAGGUUGGGCUGAGUGGCAUGGUCUCCUUCCUCCCCAGUGGGACCUUCUCCACCCCAUUUUCCCGGGAUGAGUAGGAGUGGACGCUGUGCGGCGAAGAGGGGUCCUGGGGGUGGGAGAGGGAAAUCAGCAGGCAGCAGAACAGGCAGGAGUGCAGGGAUGUCCCAGGUCAUGGUGAGCUGGUGGCUUGAGCAAGGGCCAGGCUGGGAGCCUGAAUCUUGGGGCUCAUUGCUGCCGUUGGCGAGGGCCAGGGAGCAUGACUCAGGGGUACCACUGGCACCUCCCUGUGAUGCCCACCUCUGCCUCUAGCAGCCUGUUAGCCCCCAACUUGGGGACAGACAGCACACACUGACCCUGGCCCCCUCCCAGCUGAUGCACUGACCUCAUCCACCACCAAGUUGUCCUCACUUUUGUCUGCAUCGCUGCCCUGAAACACAGAGGACGCUUGAAGACAAAGGGGCUGCAGCCACCCUCGCUCCUGCCUGGGGAUGCACCGGAGGCACAGGCAGCUCCAUUCUUUGCCCCGCAAGAAGGGAUGGGGCCACCCUGCCCCCCACAGCCCCAGGCUCACAUAGUCUGUAACAAAGUCCUUCUCCUCCACCUUCCUCUUCUUGCUGCUGCUCAGGUACUCAGCGAUGGCUCGUGCCCGCUCCCCAUUUGGCAGUGCCAGGGAGCUCUGGGGCGGGGGGAUGCAGUGUUAGCGGCCAGGGAUGCUGUGCCCGGCUCCUGGGACAGGCAGCACCAACACGGGGCUGCGGCUGACUCCUGGAGCACGGAGGGCCCCAGCGCAGCCCCCGUGCCCUGACUGGAGCCUGUGCCGCCACAGAAUGAUGCAAGAGAAGGAAAAAGCACUUACGGGGCCGGAGUCUCGGUCUGUCGCUGUGGCAAUGCAGAGGCGCAGCAGGAGGAGGAGGGAAGGGGGGACAUGCUGUGCCACCACCAAGAGCCCCCCAGGAAAGUCACCCGCUUCUCCCAUGGGUGCUGGGGUGCUCACAGCAGGGCUGGGCCAGCAUGACAGCAGCAGGGUGGUCCUGGGCCCCCACCAGGGAUGACCCCCCACCAGCCCACCUCACCACCCUUCCAGGAGGUGCCGCUCAGUGGGGGAUGUUCCCCACGCAAACCUCUCAUGGCUGCCAAGCCCCCUGCCCUUCCCACCCAGUCAGCACACCUGAGGCGUGGACAAGCAGCCCCCCAUCCAUCCCUGGCCCCCACCCUGGGGAAGUGCCUAAGUAGGAAGACCCUGGGGAGCAGAAGCAGCUCCAGGGCCCUGCCCCACCUGUUCCCAGGUUCACUCAGAUCCGACAGCACCCAGCCCUGGUUCCCCCCACACUUACCCCUGGGCUCUGUGUCAGGGACUCCUCGGUCAUCCUUGGUGAGGAGCUGGGCCUGGGCCCCCAGUGCCCCUGAGAGUGCCAGCAGCCCUGAGGCACUGCUGAUGCCAGCAAGGCCAGUGGGCUGCAACCCAGAGGGGUGGGGGGUCAGCGGGAUGGGGGGAGUGUGGUGCGAAAGGUGCUGCGUCUGGAGCUGGUGCUGGAGAGGAGCAAGAUGAGAGAGAAAUCGAAGGGCUGUGCCAGGACAGCUGCUCGGCACAGGGGGGAAGAGGCAGCCCUGGAUCAGUCAGCAACAGGACUUGGGUGAGGAGGGGCAGGGCAUGAACCCAGGAUGUCCCCAGCCACAGUGUGGGGGCCACCAUGUCCCUCCCACUGACUGCCCCCACCCUGUGACAGGAGCUACUGGGACAGAUGGGGGACCCUGCCAGUACCCAAAGCACUGUACUGCUGCAUUCUCACGGGAAUAACCAAGGAGUGGGGAUGGUGGCAAUCCCCCUUUCACCUGGGCCACAGGGCAUCAGGACACAGGGACAUGCACCAGCCACCACCUCCACACCCAGCUGCAUCUCCUCCAUCCUGAGUACUGCUGACAGCCCCCCAAACCAGCCUGGUUUGCCCUUCUCCUCCCCCUGACUCAGCUGUGGGUGGAAGAAGGCACUCAGGCCAGGGGCCACAGUUGCCUGGUGUGCCAUGGGCAGGAGGAGUUUUCAGCCCAGGGACAGCAGGAACUCAGGAGGUGCCCAGCAGAGCCCAGCACCCCAGGCCCAGGAGUGGCGGGAAGGGUGGGCAGAGGGUUGACGUACCCCAAUUGCCACGUUCAGGUCGGUCAUAGUCACCUGCUUCGCACGCUCCACAGCCUGGACCACUUGCUGCUGGUGCUGCAGGGAGAGAAGAGAGGAGCUGGGGCAGGCUCAUUUCUUCAGCGAAUGGGGCAAAGCCAGCUCUCUAGCCUGGCCCAGAGACCAGGGCUCCCUGGGCCCCAAAGGACCUCUGCAUACCUGGCUGGGGCCCAAUGGCUUACCCACCUCCUGAGAUAGGAACGGGAUGAGCUGAGCGCAGAUCACGUUGAGCCGCUUGGCGAUCUCUGUCUGGAAGUGGAAGAGAGGCAGUGCCCAUCAGGGCAAGGGGCAGACUAUCCCCCGUGCUGAGGGGCCCCAGUGCUGCGGGAGAAUCUACUCCCCAUGGGUGCUGCACAGAUGCCACCCGAGCCUCAGGGCACUGGCAGUCAGCCCCAAGGGCUACUGCUCAGCACCAAGGAGCAGAAACACCCUGGGGGAUGUUUCUAGAGAACAACUCUCCUUCCUAACAAUACCCCUUCCAAAAAGCAGUAUCCUCCAUCCCCACCCUGAGAGCCCCAGGAUGGCUUCCAUCUCCUCUCUGCCAGGGACAUAAAGCCCCAUGGCCCAUGCCAUUGAAGGCCACCCCCAAGCAAGCCCCCAGCCCUGCAGCCAGGGCCCCAGCAGGCUCACCUCCGCCCCCCACACAGCCUCCUGUCGGCACCACGACCACUACCUGCCGCUCUCCUGGCCUGCAGGAAGCCCUGGAGAGGUGCUCUACUUACAGCUGCUGUUUUUCUGCAACACUUGAGUGCCACUGGCAAUCAAGAGCACAGAGGGCGAGCGCAGCAUGGGGAGGGAGAGCGGUGCUGUGUCACGGUGCGCCAUACUCCCAGGGCAUCCCACUGCCAGCUUCCAGGGCCCCUGCUGGCGCCACACUGCACAGCUCGGGCGAGGGGAGAGCACAGACAUUCAGCCAUCCCUGGCCCCACAGACACAUCCCUGGGAAGAAGCCCCAGGGGCUGCAGGGACAGGCCCCUGCCUCUGGUACGAGCAGGCAAUGGCCGAGAGAGCAGACACUGCUUGAGGCACCAGCAGAGACACCCACACAGAGCUGGGGACCCCCAUCCCUAGCAUGGGAGUCCAGGUAAGACGCUGUCCCAAGCUCCAAGGAGCUCCCUGCCCACCCUGGUGGGGUAGAUGAAAACACUACCAGGCCAACACGUGGCUGAGAGGAGCCCCUAGAGGAGACCAAAAGGUGAAGGGCCCCAACAGCCAGGGAUGGAGCUGACCCCUGGAUCUCCCCACCAGAACGUUGGGCACGUCUCCCAUGCCCAGCUGGUGCAGGCACCGCAGUGCCAGGGUGAGGGGCUGCAGCACUGCUCGGCUGGUGUGGGGACACAGACCCAGGGACACCUUGUGCCGCCCUCCAGAGCAGCUGCCAACCCGUUCUUGCCAGACCCAGAGAAUAGAAUACAAAUAAUCUGGCACCUGCCCUCGCUUCCCCUUCUGAGGGAGGAAAAAAGAGAAAGAAAAGAAAGGAAGAGGGGGGAGCAAGGAGAUUUGGCAGCCGGCGGUUCUGGGAAAGAUUUAGCUGUCUCCUGAGGCCAGCAGUGAUGGAUUCUCUUCCCUAAUGCACUGAUGGGCAGCAGCUCCUUGGGGAGAGCUGCCUCCAAUUCACUCGCACUCGUUAAUGUGCAAUUUACUGGCACUUUAACGCUCUCAGCAUGAAAAACGAUCACGCUGUUUGCAGCCCCCCCAGCCACCAGCACCAUCACCUCCUCUCUGGCUUGUGGUGAGCAAGUCCUAGUCCAGGCAGAUUCAGGGAGGUGGUUUUAUAAAAAGCUACAGGCCCCUUCAACGCCAAAAACAAAGCAACAAUAAAAAAUUAAUGUCUCACGCUCA